rnacentral:guide_RNA from 1 species
AUACCAUACAGAAAUCACAUAUUACAAUAAAGUUAGUAUAUGAU